CCUUGGUGAUUCUAUCCGUAGGAUACAAGAGUCUGUGACCACGUCCGGAGGAGGGAAACAGGGACGUCUUAUAGGCGCCAUUAUCGGUGGUGUAGCUCUCGGGGUUGCAACCGCUGCACAGAUAACAGCAGCCUCGGCUCUGAUACAAGCCAAUCAAAAUGCUGCCAACAUACUCCGGCUAAAAGAGAGCAUUGCUGCAACCAAUGAGGCUGUGCACGAGGUCACUAAUGGAUUAUCACAACUAGCAGUGGCAGUCGAGGCUGUACAAUCUUGCGCUCGAUGUCACUAUUGAUGUGGAGGUAGACCCGAAGAGCCCGUUGGUCAAAUCCCUUUCCAAGUCCGACAGUGGGUACUAUGCUAAUCUCUUCUUACAUAUUGGGCUUAUGUCCACUGUAGAUAAGAAGGGGAAGAAAGUGACAUUUGACAAGCUGGAAAGGAAGAUAAGGAGACUUGAUCUAUCUGAAGGGCUCAGUGAUGUGCUCGGAC
rnacentral:misc_RNA from 1 species